rnacentral:rRNA from 1 species
UUAGGUUAAGUUAAUAAGGGCGCACGGUGGAUGCCUUGGCACUAAGAGCCGAUGAAGGACGGGACUAACUCCGAUAUGCUUUGGGGAGCUGUAAGUAAGCUUUGAUCCAAAGAUUUCCGAAUGGGGGAACCCAGCAUUUUUUAUAGAAUGUUACUGCUAGCUGAAUACAUAGGCUAGUAGAGGUAGACGCAGAGAACUGAAACAUCUAAGUAACUGCAGGAAGAGAAAGAAAAUUCGAUUCCCUGAGUAGCGGCGAGCGAAACGGGAAGAGCCCAAACCAAAGAGCUUGCUCUUUGGGGUUGUAGGACACGACAUUAAGAGUCAUAAAUGAGUUUUGUAGAAGAAGCGAUCUGGAAAGGUCCGCCGAAGAGGGUAAAAGCCCCGUAAUCGAAACAAAGUUCACUCUGUUGUGUAUCCUGAGUACGGCGGAACACGAGAAAUUCCGUCGGAAUCCGCGGGGACCAUCCCGCAAGGCUAAAUACUCCUUAGUGACCGAUAGUGAACCAGUACCGUGAGGGAAAGGUGAAAAGAACCCCGGAAGGGGAGUGAAAGAGCUCCUGAAACCGUGUGCUUACAAAUAGUUAGAGCCCGUUAAUGGGUGAUAGCGUGCCUUUUGUAGAAUGAACCGGCGAGUUACGAUUACAUGCGAGGUUAAGUUGAUAAGACGGAGCCGUAGCGAAAGCGAGUCUUAAUAGGGCGAAUGAGUAUGUGGUCGUAGACCCGAAACCAAGUGACCUACCCAUGUCCAGGUUGAAGGUGCGGUAAUACGCACUGGAGGACCGAACCCACGUAUGUUGAAAAAUGCGGGGAUGAGGUGUGGGUAGCGGAGAAAUUCCAAUCGAACUUGGAGAUAGCUGGUUCUCUCCGAAAUAGCUUUAGGGCUAGCCUCGGAAUUAAGAAUCAUGGAGGUAGAGCCACUGUUUGGACUAGGGGCCCUUCUAGGGUUACCGAAUUCAGAUAAACUCCGAAUGCCAUUGAUUUAUAUCCGGGAGUCAGACUGCGAGUGAUAAGAUCCGUAGUCGAAAGGGAAACAGCCCAGACCACCAGCUAAGGUCCCAAAGUUACUAUUAAGUGGAAAAGGAUGUGGGGUUGCUUAGACAACUAGGAUGUUGGCUCAGAAGCAGCCAUCAUUUAAAGAGUGCGUAAUAGCUCACUAGUCGAGUGACCCUGCGCCGAAAAUUUACCGGGGCUAAAUAGUACACCGAAGCUGUGGAUAGAACCUUAGGGUUCUAUGGUAGGAGAGCGUUCUAAGGGCGUCGAAGCUAGACCGUGAGGACUAGUGGAGCGCUUAGAAGUGAGAAUGCCGGUAUGAGUAGCGAAAGACGGGUGAGAAUCCCGUCCACCGUAUGACUAAGGUUUCCUGGGGAAGGCUCGUCCUCCCAGGGUUAGUCGGGACCUAAGCCGAGGCCGAUAGGCGUAGGCGAUGGACAACAGGUUGAUAUUCCUGUACCAGUUUCUUUUGUUUGAACAAUGGAGGGACGCAGGAGGCUAAGAAAUGCGCACUGUUGGAUAUGUGCGUCUAAGCAAUGAGUCUUGAGGUGAGUUAAAUGCUUGCUUCUAUACGGACAAGUUGUGAUGGGGAGGGAAAUUACAGUACCGAAGUUUCUGAUGUCACACUGCCAAGAAAAGCUUCUAGUUAGAAAGAAAUUGCCCGUACCGCAAACCGACACAGGUAGUCGAGGAGAGUAUCCUAAGGUGUGCGAGAGAACUCUCGUUAAGGAACUCGGCAAAAUGACCCCGUAACUUCGGGAGAAGGGGUGCUGAUCGAAAGAUCAGCCGCAGUGAAUAGGCCCAAGCGACUGUUUAUCAAAAACACAGGUCUCUGCAAAAUCGAAAGAUGACGUAUAGGGGCUGACGCCUGCCCGGUGCUGGAAGGUUAAGAGGAUUGGUUAGCUUCGGCGAAGCUAAGAAUUGAAGCCCCAGUAAACGGCGGCCGUAACUAUAACGGUCCUAAGGUAGCGAAAUUCCUUGUCGGGUAAGUUCCGACCCGCACGAAAGGCGUAACGAUUUGGGCACUGUCUCAACGAGAGACUCGGUGAAAUUAUAGUACCUGUGAAGAUGCAGGUUACCCGCGACAGGACGGAAAGACCCCAUGGAGCUUUACUGCAGUUUGAUAUUGAGUGUUUGUACAGCUUGUACAGGAUAGGUAGGAGCCAUAGAAGUCAGGACGCCAGUCUUGAUGGAGGCAUUGGUGGGAUACUACCCUUGCUGUAUGACCACUCUAACCCUAGCCACUAAUCGUGGCUGGAGACAGUGUCAGACGGGCAGUUUGACUGGGGCGGUCGCCUCCUAAAGAGUAACGGAGGCGCCCAAAGGUUCCCUCAGAAUGGUUGGAAAUCAUUCGUAGAGUGUAAAGGCAGAAGGGAGCUUGACUGCGAGACCUACAAGUCGAGCAGGGACGAAAGUCGGGCUUAGUGAUCCGGUGGUUCCGCAUGGAAGGGCCAUCGCUCAACGGAUAAAAGCUACCCUGGGGAUAACAGGCUUAUCUCCCCAAGAGUCCACAUCGACGGGGAGGUUUGGCACCUCGAUGUCGGCUCAUCGCAUCCUGGGGCUGUAGUCGGUCCCAAGGGUUGGGCUGUUCGCCCAUUAAAGCGGUACGCGAGCUGGGUUCAGAACGUCGUGAGACAGUUCGGUCCCUAUCCGUCGCGGGCGCAGGAAAUUUGAGAGGAGCUGUCCUUAGUACGAGAGGACCGGGAUGGACACACCGCUGGUGUACCAGUUGUUCUGCCAAGAGCAUCGCUGGGUAGCUAUGUGUGGAAGGGAUAAACGCUGAAAGCAUCUAAGCGUGAAGCCCCCUCGAGAUGAGAUUUCCCAUCACGUAAGUGAGUAAGACCCCUGAGAGAUGAUCAGGUAGAUAGGUUGGAAGUGGAAGUACAGCGAUGUAUGGAGCGGACCAAUACUAAUCGGUCGAGGACUUAACCAAG